rnacentral:lncRNA from 1 species
CUCACAAUGUCUCAGAAGAGGUAGAGAGAAUUCAGAGAAGUGACUUGUUCAAAGUCAUCUAGCUAGGGAGAAGCAGACUUAGGACUAGAACUUAUUUAUUGUUUCAUUCACUUAAAAACCAGGAAGUCCUGCUACAUGCCAGCCAGGUGAGGUACUAAGCAGCAAAAAUACAAACAUGGGUAAAUGUUGCUCCUUGGCUCUCAAGGGACUGUCAGGAUUGAAGUGUCCAGGCUGGGUAAGGAACAUCCAUAAACUUUACUAAAGCCAUUAGUAAGCAUCAGUAAAAGAAACCACGCUUUAAAAUCCAUAUUUUAUACUUCAAAACUCAGUUAAGCCUGGUGCCGUGGCUCAUGCCUGUAAUCCCAGCACUUUGGGAGGUCAAGGCGGGAAGAUCCCUUGAACCCAGGAAUUCCAGACCAGCCUGAGCAACAUGGCAAAACCCCUGUCUCUACAAACAAUACAAAAAUUAGCCAGGCAUGAUGGCAUGUGCCUGAGGUCCCAGCUACUCUGAAGGCUGAGGCAGAAGGAUCGCUGGAGCCCAGGAGGUUGAGGCUGCAGUGAGCUGUGAAACUGCCACUGCACUCCAGCCUGGGCAAUAGAGUGAGACCCUGUCUCCAGAAAAGCGAAACAAAACAAAACUCUCAGUUUACACUUCAUUCAAGAGUGUCAAGCCAGGGCGGUACAUAAAAUAACAAAGGAGAAUCCUUCACCAAAGGAGGAUAAACAGAUCCUGGUUGGUAUAUUUCCUAAUAGAACUUCCAUGUAAUGUGUGUCUUUCAGUACCGACAACAUUAACACUUCAUUAUCAUCUUUUUCU